GUGCUGUGAGCUCGAUGAGUAGGGCGGGACACGUGGUAUCCUGUCUGAAUAUGGGGGGACCAUCCUCCAAGGCUAAAUACUCCUGACUGACCGAUAGUGAACCAGUACCGUGAGGGAAAGGCGAAAAGAACCCCGGCGAGGGGAGUGAAAAAGAACCUGAAACCGUGUACGUACAAGCAGUGGGAGCACAGGUUUACCUGUGUGACUGCGUACCUUUUGUAUAAUGGGUCAGCGACUUAUAUUCUGUAGCAAGGUUAACCGAAUAGGGGAGCCGGAGGGAAACCGAGUCUUAAUUGGGCGUUAAGUUGCAGGGUAUAGACCCGAAACCCGGUGAUCUAGCCAUGGGCAGGUUGAAGGUUGGGUAACACUAACUGGAGGACCGAACCGACUAAUGUUGAAAAAUUAGCGGAUGACCUGUGGCUGGGGGUGAAAGGCCAAUCAAACCGGGAGAUAGCUGGUUCUCCCCGAAAGCUAUUUAGGUAGCGCCUCGUGAAUUCAUCUCCGGGGGUAGAGCACUGUUUCGGCUAGGGGGCCAUCCCGGCUUACCAACCCGAUGCAAACUGCGAAUACCGGAGAAUGUUAUCACGGGAGACACACGGCGGGUGCUAACGUCCGUCGUGAAGAGGGAAACAACCCAGACCGCCAGCUAAGGUCCCAAAGUCAUGGUUAAGUGGGAAACGAUGUGGGAAGGCCCAGACAGCCAGGAUGUUGGCUUAGAAGCAGCCAUCAUUUAAAGAAAGCGUAAUAGCUCACUGGUCGAGUCGGCCUGCGCGGAAGAUGUAACGGGGCUAAACCAUGCACCGAAGCUGCGGCAGCGACACUGUGUGUUGUUGGGUAGGGGAGCGUUCUGUAAGCCUGUGAAGGUGUGUCGUGAGGCAUGCUGGAGGUAUCAGAAGUGCGAAUGCUGACAUAAGUAACGAUAAAGCGGGUGAAAAGCCCGCUCGCCGGAAGACCAAGGGUUCCUGUCCAACGUUAAUCGGGGCAGGGUGAGUCGACCCCUAAGGCGAGGCCGAAAGGCGUAGUCGAUGGGAAACGGGUUAAUAUUCCCGUACUUGGUGUUACUGCGAAGGGGGGACGGAGAAGGCUAUGUUGGCCGGGCGACGGUUGUCCCGGUUUAAGCGUGUAGGUGUGUGUUCCAGGUAAAUCCGGUUCACUUUAACACUGAGGCGUGACGACGAGGCACUACGGUGCUGAAGCAACAAAUGCCCUGCUUCCAGGAAAAGCCUCUAAGCAUCAGGUAACAUCAAAUCGUACCCCAAACCGACACAGGUGGUCAGGUAGAGAAUACCAAGGCGCUUGAGAGAACUCGGGUGAAGGAACUAGGCAAAAUGGUGCCGUAACUUCGGGAGAAGGCACGCUGACACGUAGGUGAAGUGAUUUACUCAUGGAGCUGAAGUCAGUCGAAGAUACCAGCUGGCUGCAACUGUUUAUUAAAAACACAGCACUGUGCAAACACGAAAGUGGACGUAUACGGUGUGACGCCUGCCCGGUGCCGGAAGGUUAAUUGAUGGGGUCAGCGCAAGCGAAGCUCCUGAUCGAAGCCCCGGUAAACGGCGGCCGUAACUAUAACGGUCCUAAGGUAGCGAAAUUCCUUGUCGGGUAAGUUCCGACCUGCACGAAUGGCGUAAUGAUGGCCAGGCUGUCUCCACCCGAGACUCAGUGAAAUUGAACUCGCUGUGAAGAUGCAGUGUACCCGCGGCAAGACGGAAAGACCCCGUGAACCUUUACUAUAGCUUGACACUGAACAUUGAGCCUUGAUGUGUAGGAUAGGUGGGAGGCUUUGAAGUGUGGACGCCAGUCUGCAUGGAGCCGACCUUGAAAUACCACCCUUUAAUGUUUGAUGUUCUAACGUGGACCCGUUACCCGGGUUGCGGACAGUGUCUGGUGGGUAGUUUGACUGGGGCGGUCUCCUCCUAAAGAGUAACGGAGGAGCACGAAGGUUGGCUAAUCCUGGUCGGACAUCAGGAGGUUAGUGCAAUGGCAUAAGCCAGCUUGACUGCGAGCGUGACGGCGCGAGCAGGUGCGAAAGCAGGUCAUAGUGAUCCGGUGGUUCUGAAUGGAAGGGCCAUCGCUCAACGGAUAAAAGGUACUCCGGGGAUAACAGGCUGAUACCGCCCAAGAGUUCAUAUCGACGGCGGUGUUUGGCACCUCGAUGUCGGCUCAUCACAUCCUGGGGCUGAAGUAGGUCCCAAGGGUAUGGCUGUUCGCCAUUUAAAGUGGUACGCGAGCUGGGUUUAGAACGUCGUGAGACAGUUCGGUCCCUAUCUGCCGUGGGCGCUGGAGAACUGAGGGGGGCUGCUCCUAGUACGAGAGGACCGGAGUGGACGCAUCACUGGUGUUCGGGUUGUCAUGCCAAUGGCACUGCCCGGUAGCUAAAUGCGGAAGAGAUAAGUGCUGAAAGCAUCUAAGCACGAAACUUGCCCCGAG
rnacentral:rRNA from 1 species